CCUACGGGUGGCAGCAGUGGGGAAUAUUGGGCAAUGGGCGCAAGCCUGACCCAGCAACGCCGCGUGAAGGAAGAAGGCUUUCGGGUUGUAAACUUCUUUUGACAGGGAAGAGGAGAAGACGGUACCUGGCGGAUAAGGCACGGCUAACUACGUGACGACCGGCGCGGUAAUACGGAGGGGGCAAGCGUUUUCCGGGUUUACUGGGUGGAAAGGGCGGGUUGCCGGGUGGACAAGUCAGAUGUGAAAACCUGCGGCUUAACCGAAGAACUGCAUUUGAAACUGUUGUUCUUGAGUACUGGAGAGGCAGACGGAAUUCCUAGUGUAGCGGUGAAAUGCGUAGAUAUUAGGAGGAACACCAGUUGCGAAGGCGGUCUGCUGGACAGCAACUGACGGUGAGGCGCGAAAGCGUGGGGAGCAAACAGGAUUAGAUACCCUGGUAGUC
rnacentral:rRNA from 1 species